CCUGGUACAGCAAAUGCACUGCCCGCAACCGCAGGGCUCUCCAGAGGGUGGUGCUGUUUGGCCAACGCAUCACCGGGGGCACACUGCCUGCCCUCCAGGACACCUACAGUACCGGAUGUCACAGGAAGGCCAAAAAGAUCAUCAAGGACAUCAACUACCCGAGCCACGGCCUGUUCACCCCGCUACAAUCCAGAAGGAGACGUGACUAUUGUGGAUCCCCUGGGGAGCCUCAACAACAUCAUGAAGCUGACUAGGCAGAGAAGAGUCUCUCGAUUCCCACGAGGACCAGUAUGAAAUAUGGUGAAAAAUGUAUGCGCUCACUACUAAGUCACUUUGGAUAAGAGCGUCUGCUAAAUGACUUAAGUGUAGAUUGUAAGCCUGACCUCUGCUCUGUCUGUGGGGAAAUGCUUUGCUCAAUCAA